rnacentral:rRNA from 1 species
CCUACGGGAGGCAGCAGUGAGGAAUAUUGGUCAAUGGACGAGAGUCUGAACCAGCCAAGUAGCGUGAAGGAUGACUGCCCUAUGGGUUGUAAACUUCUUUUAUAAAGGAAUAAAACGCGGCACGUGUGCCGUUUUGCAUGUACUUUAUGAAUAAGGAUCGGCUAACUCCGUGCCAGCAGCCGCGGUAAUACGGAGGAUCCGAGCGUUAUCCGGAUUUAUUGGGUUUAAAGGGAGCGUAGAUGGGUUGUUAAGUCAGUUGUGAAAGUUUGAGGCUCAACCGUCAAAUUGCCAUUGAUACUGGCAUUCUUGAGUACACUUGAGGUAUGCGGAAUGCGUGGUGUAGCGGUGAAAUGCUUAGAUAUCACGCAGAACCCAGAUUGCGAAGGCAGCUUACUAACCUGUGACUGACAUUGAUGCUCGAAAGUGUGGGUAUCAAACAGGAUUAGAUACCCCGGUAGUC